CGGCAGCUGCAGGCUACUGUACCAUAAUGUGGCUAGUGUCUGUCACUCAAGGAAGAGCUUGAUGUUGUAUCCUAUUAUGACCCAAUUAAAGAGCAAGCCAACAUUGCUAUUUGUUCGGCUUUGAGGUUGGAGUGAAAGGCAACAAUGCCUUCAAAUGAAAGGAAACCAUCGCACGUAUCAUGUACUUGUGUUUCCAUUGCAAUAGCAGGAUAUUGGGCAUAUGGGCGCAGGGAUGCUAACAGCAAUUUAUCACAAGCUGUUCUAAUUAAUAACAAGAAAGCAGCUUAAUUAGUGAUAAUUAAGGCAGUGACCGCAUUCCGAAUUUAUGGGAUGCCAGUGUUAGAUUAGAUGAACUUCAGUCAAGAUACAACAAAUGGAAGAACAAGCCCUGCCCCGUACGUGGUGGCACCCGGUCAAUUCUUUCGUGCUGUGUGUUGGAUACCGGCGCUUCCUUUUUCCUUAGCGGUGGCGCCAUACCUUUCUUGGUUGGUAGGUUGAAUAGGGUCGGAGUUGCAGUGCCGGUUACAUUUGCUUAUCCAUGUUUAAUUAAUGUGGCUUAAGAUUAAGAAACCAAAUAAAUAUGGAAUCAUGUGGGCGGCUGAAUUGGGUACUAGCUAGCUUUCCUUUUUUUUUUUUUUUUUUUUUUUUUUUUUCUUUUUAAGCCUAACUACUAGAUUGAAAUAUUGAGUAGGAGUUUUUCAAUUAAAUUUGAAGUGUUUUGUUGGCUUCGUUUUUUCCCUUUUACUCUUCCAAUAUGCUCUUUUCUUUUCAUUUUGAUUAUAUAAAGUAAUUCUGAAUUAUUGUUAUCAUUCUCUUUCGAGAUAAAUUCUGAAAUAUGUUUUGCAUGUUAAAUAAAUAAAUUAAUGUUUUUAAUUAGGCUUCAUUUUUCAUAAUUCAAAUUGCACUUUACAGUCCCAUCAAGAAAAGAGAAAUAAUUGCCGUUGCAAAUGUUAUUUGUUAUCUUAAUCACGUACACUUUGCCUUCUAAUAUCGUAGCAGCCAGUUUAGGAAAUGGAUUAUUGUCUUCUAAUCUAAUGAAUUAAACUACUAAUUAACGUUUUAAGUCAUUGUCUACUUUCAUCGAAUGGCAGUGGAGCUUUAUCAGGA